rnacentral:rRNA from 1 species
CCUACGGGCGGCAGCAGUGGGGGAUAUUGCACAAUGGGGGAAACCCUGAUGCAGCGACGCCGCGUGGGUGAAGAAGCGCCUCGGCGCGUAAAGCCCUGUCAGCAGGGAAGAAAAUGACGGUACCUGAAGAAGAAGCCCCGGCUAACUACGUGCCAGCAGCCGCGGUAAUACGUAGGGGGCAAGCGUUAUCCGGAUUUACUGGGUGUAAAGGGGGCGCAGACGGCGAUGCAAGCCAGGAGUGAAAGCCCGGGGCUCAACCCCGGGACUGCUUUUGAAACUGCGUGGCUGGAGUGCAGGAGGGGCAGGCGGAAUUCCUGGUGUAGCGGUGAAAUGCGUAGAUAUCAGGAGGAACACCGGUGGCGAAGGCGGCCUGCUGGACUGCAACUGACGUUGAGGCCCGAAAGCGUGGGGAGCAAACAGGAUUAGAUACCCGUGUAGUC